rnacentral:rRNA from 1 species
CCCUUAGAUGUUCUGGGCCGCACGCGCGCUACAAUGAUGAAUUCAACGAGUUUAUAACCUUGGUUGAAAAGCCUGGGUAAUCUUUUGAACUUUCGUCGUGAUGGGGCUAGACCCUUGCAAUUAUUGGUCUCCAACGAGGAAUUCCUAGUAAACGCAAGUCAUCAGCUUGCAUUGAUUACGUCCCUGCCCUUUGUACACACCGCCCGUCGCACCUACCGAUUGAAUGGUCCGGUGAAAUCUCCGGACUGGCGUGAGUCGGAGCAAUCUGACAAACGCCGGAAAGUUGAUUAAACCUUACCAUUUAGAGGAAGGUGAAGUCGUAACA